rnacentral:rRNA from 1 species
AUGGGUGGUGAUAUAGCAGGAUGGUCGGCAAGGCAAAUAAAUGCCAGUUACGACGAACGAGACCAAAUAUCAAUCUUCACCGUCCUCGAUGGAAUUCAGACAUCUACAUUUUAUUACUUAUUAGCAUAAAAUAUGAAGUCAACAAAGUACAUAGAAAUAAAAUAAAUUAGGGAUUUCAUAAGGCUCAGACAUCCAAGGAAGGAAUUAGCAGCACUAGCUCUCAAGCCUGGCAGGGCGAAAGCUCUUAGGCGGCAACUGCGAAUGUUUUGA